AGUGGACCCGUGAAGACAGGUGGACGCGUCUUUGUGUUGGACCACACACGGUGGACGCCACCGAUGAAAGAGCCUUAUCUACCAAGGUCUACCAAUGCUGAACGGUACUCGCUUCAAGCAUUGGAGAAACGAUGUGAAAGUGACGCAGAUCGAUGCACACGUCCAUCUUUCCAACAUUUCCAAAUGACCAUCUUUUAUCCAGGGAGUGUUUUCUGGAAGGGACCCCUUGGAUUUCUUCUACAGGAGCCAAGCAGAUAAGAGACACCCUCAGUCUGCAGGACAGAUCUGAGCAGAUUAGAGGAUAUCAUGUCGGAAAAUGCUCUGUCUGUGGUUCGUUAAAGAUCCAGAUAUAAGGCCGGUAUCAAGGAAGCCUCUGAAGAUGAACAGCUGGUUGACUUUGGCUCUUGUGCCAAGAUUGAAGGAAAUGUGGAAAAGCAGAGCUGAUGGUUUUGAUGAUUUCGUCUUGAAGAGCUGCCUUCCAGGGACAUGGAUGAACAAUUUGCAGCAGUCCCUGAGAAAGAAACGGCAGUCUGCCUCUCCUAAACACACAAAUGUCCCACCCAAGCCUCUG